UUGGGGUGGACGGGCCGCAUGGCGGUUGGCAACUCGGCCCUCUGGAAUGGGCGUCGUCGUGAACCGCCGUGGAGGCACGACGCCUUGCUCUGCCCAAACGGCCCUUACGCCGCCGUCGCGCAGGGCAUUGAGACUUUGUAAACAAAUUCUUUAAUGAUUCCUUGCGUGCCAUUGGGGACAGGUAGGUAUUGCCAAAUUGCACGGGUAUGAGUCCCAGGGCUAGGCCAGCCUUUCGACACCCGGAGGGUCUUUCUACGCUCGGGGGCUCGCCGUGCCUUGGUGAGCAUAUGUGUGCGUGAGCCCACCGUGCAUGUGUCAAACUAUAUCGCAUGAUCUACUAGGCACGCCACCGCUCUCGAUCUACCUGCGUCAAAAGUCGCUCUCGUUGGGCCAGCGCGCAUUAUACACCCUGACUGCACUCGUGCUGGUCCAGGGGUGGGCAGUGCCCAUGUGAAAGUAGGUACGUGCUGUACAUCCAGUACCGAAUUACCUUGCCCACCCCUGCGCCAGGGUGCAACAGGGACAUAGCAGCGGGCCCAGCAGGGAAGACUGGGGAAAGUGGGUUACUGCCUCUCUGCCGGGACGACCUGUGUCGCCUCUCUGCAGUCUGGGGUUCGAAUGCCGUCCAGAGAAAUUGGUUCGCUUUUCUCUCGAUGCCGCUUUGCACUUUUGCGUUGGCCCCUCGCUGCUCGAUCUUACACGUGACCUUCCUGCGAUGUUUUCGGAACCUUAUCCUGUUUCAGGGGAGCAGCGGCCCAUAGCCAGGUGGCUGCCAUCGGAUGUGGAGUGAGGAUCGACGGUAAUGGGCGGACCGGAGAGGUCUGUGUCCGGAGUCCGUAGCCCAGCCCAAGACGCGGUCUUCGCCAGAACCCCUUCUGAUCCGAGCCGAGACACCAUCAUGAGACUGCUCGAGACGAGAGGAAUGCGAACAACUCAUUGAUAUGGGCGGGGGUUCGCUAGAACGCUGCCAGGAACCCCCGCCCCCGGACGUCUGUACCCCUGCAGAUGAAGAUGCUGAUCAAUGCAGUCUGCAUCCUCAUCUUGAGAUGAUGCCACAACACCUAUAUAAGGCUCUCUCAAUGGUGGAUUCAUCUGAAAUUUAAAUGAUGUAUUUUCACGAUGGUAUCAACUUCAGUUCUGCAUUACCGCUC